UACAAGCUGCAUUGUUCGUAACGAUAUUAAGUUUUAACCUUUAAGCUGUUGUAGGGAGUUUUUAUAGAAACAGGAAUGACAUGCCACAUUCACUUAGGUCAAUGAGGACAGGCAGGAUGGUUUCCGCGAACACCCACUUUGAGGAGUGGUGGUCUAAAACUUUCUUAUUUUAUUUACGGCAAAGGCGGCUUUUUU
rfam:Paenisporosarcina sp. HGH0030 genomic scaffold acAqH-supercont1.2, whole genome shotgun sequence.